rnacentral:rRNA from 1 species
GAUGAACGCUGGCGGCGUGUCUAAUACAUGCAAGUCGAGCGAACGGACGAGAAGCUUGCUUCUCUGAUGUUAGCGGCGGACGGGUGAGUAACACGUGGAUAACCUACCGAUAAGACUGGGAUAACUGCGGGAAACCGGAGCUAAUACCGGAUAAUAUUCUGAACCGCAUGGUUCAAAAGUGAAAGACGGUCUUGCUGUCACUUAUAGAUGGAUCCGCGCUGCAUUAGCUAGUUGGUAAGGUAACGGCUUACCAAGGCAACGAUGCAUAGCCGACCUGAGAGGGUGAUCGGCCACACUGGAACUGAGACACGGUCCAGACUCCUACGGGCGGCAGCAGUAGGGAAGAUUCCGCAAUGGGCGAAAGUCUGACCGAGCCACGCCGCGUGCGUGAAGAAGGUCUUCGGGUCGUAACCAUCUGUUAUUAGGGAAGAACAUCUGUGUAGGUAACUGUGCACAGCUUGACGGUACCAAAUCAGAAAGCCACGGCUAACUACGUG